rnacentral:rRNA from 1 species
AUUGAACGCUGGCGGCAGGCCUAACACAUGCAAGUCGAGCGGAGCGGCGGACGGGUGAGUAAUGCCUAGGACUCUGCCUGGUAGUGGGGGAUAACGUCCGGAAACGGGCGCUAAUACCGCAUACUCUCAGAUGAGCCUAGGUCGGAUUAGCGAGUUGGUGGGGUAAAGGCCUACCAAGGCGACGAUCAGUAACUGGUCUGAGAGGAUGAGCAGUAACAAUGGAACUGAGACACGGUCCAGACUCCUACGGGAGGCCGCAGUGGGGAAUAGUGGACAAGGGGCGAAAGCCUGAUCCAGCCAUGCCGCGUGUGUGAAGAAGGUCUUCGGAUUGUAAAGCACUUUAAGUUGGGAGGCGUUACCAACAGAAUAAGCACCGGCUAACGUCGUGCCAGCAGCCGCGGUAAUUC